rnacentral:rRNA from 1 species
GUCUACGGCCAUGCUACCCUGAACAAGCCCGAUGUCUGAUCUCAGAAGCUAAGCAGGAUUGGGCCUCGUUAGUACUUGGAUGGAGACCACCUAGAAAGACCAGGUGCUGUAGUCA